rnacentral:rRNA from 1 species
GACGAACCGUCCUAACGUUGUUCGGAAUCACUGGGCUUAAAGGGCGCGUAGGCGGGUUCGAAAGUCUGUGGUGAAAUCCUCCAGCUUAACUGGAGAAGUGCCAUGGAUACUGCGAACCUCGAGGAGGGUAGGGGCAUCUGGAACGGUCGGUGGAGCGGUGAAAUGCGUAGAUAUUCGCAAGAACACCAGUGGCGAAGGCGGCUCACUGGCCCGGUACUGACGCUGAGGUGCGAAAGCGUGGGGAGCAAACAGG